GUUGUGGCUCAAGUGGUAGUGCGCUCGCCUGGUAUGCGUGAGGCACUGGGUUCGAUCCUAGCAUCACA
rnacentral:tRNA from 1 species